rnacentral:tRNA from 1 species
GAGUGGCUCAGUGGUGGAGCAUCUGCUUCCCAAGCAGAGGGUCGCGGGUUCGAGUCCCGUCUCG